rnacentral:rRNA from 1 species
CCUACGGGAGGCAGCAGUGAGGAAUAUUGGUCAAUGGGCGCGAGCCUGAACCAGCCAAGUAGCGUGAAGGAUGACUGCCCUACGGGUUGUAAACUUCUUUUAUAAAGGAAUAAAGUGAGGUACGGGUGCCUUUUUGGAUGUACUGUAUGAAUAAGGAUCGGAUAACUCCGUGCCAGCAGCCGCGGUAAUACGGAGGAUCCGAGCGUUAUCCGGAUUUAUUGGGUUUAAAGGGUGCGUAGAUGGGUUGUUAAGUCAGUUGUGAAAGUUUGAGGCUCAACCGUGAAAUUGCAAUUGAUACUGGCAGCCUAGAGUACAGUUGAGGUAGGCGGAAUGCAUGGUGUAGCGGUGAAAUGCUUAGAUAUCACGAAGAACUCCGAUUGCGAAGGCAGCCUACUAAGCUGCCACUGACAUUGAUGCUCGAAAGUGUGGGUAUCAAACAGGAUUAGAUACCCUGGUAGUC